CCUACGGGUGGCAGCAGUGAGGAAUAUUGGUCAAUGGACGAAAGUCUGAACCAGCCAAGUCGCGUGAAGGAUGACUGCCCUAUGGGUUGUAAACUGCUUUUAUAUGGGAAUAAACCAGGGUAUGCAUACCCUCUUGUAUGUACCAUAUGAAUAAGGAUCGGCUAACUCCGUGCCAGCAGCCGCGGUAAUACGGAGGAUCCGAGCGUUAUCCGGAUUUAUUGGGUUUAAAGGGUGCGUAGGCGGCCGGUUAAGUCAGCGGUGAAAGUCUGUGGCUCAACCAUAGAAUUGCCGUUGAAACUGGGAGGCUUGAGGAUGUUUGCGGUAGGCGGAAUGCGUGGUGUAGCGGUGAAAUGCUUAGAUAUCAUGCAGAACCCCGAUUGCGAAGGCAGCCUGCCAAGCUACGUCUGACGCUGAUGCACGAAAGCGUGGGGAGCAAACAGGAUUAGAUACCCUAGUAGUC
rnacentral:rRNA from 1 species